rnacentral:rRNA from 1 species
UGCAGUCGAACGAUGAUGCCCAGCUUGCUGGGCGGAUUAGUGGCGAACGGGUGAGUAAUACGUGAGUAACCUGCCCUUGACUCUGGGAUAAGCCUGGGAAACUGGGUCUAAUACUGGAUACUACCUCUUGCCGCAUGGUGGGUGGUGGAAAGGGUUUUACUGGUUUUGGAUGGGCUCACGGCCUAUCAGCUUGUUGGUGGGGUAAUGGCUCACCAAGGCGACGACGGGUAGCCGGCCUGAGAGGGUGACCGGCCACACUGGGACUGAGACACGGCCCAGACUCCUACGGGAGGCAGCAGUGGGGAAUAUUGCACAAUGGGCGGAAGCCUGAUGCAGCGACGCCGCGUGAGGGAUGACGGCCUUCGGGUUGUAAACCUCUUUCAGUAGGGAAGAAGCGAGAGUGACGGUACCUGCAGAAGAAGCGCCGGCUAACUACGUGCCAGCAGCCGCGGUAAUACGUAGGGCGCAAGCGUUGUCCGGAAUUAUUGGGCGUAAAGAGCUCGUAGGCGGUUUGUCGCGUCUGCUGUGAAAGCCCGGGGCUCAACCCCGGGUCUGCAGUGKGUACGGGCAGACUAGAGUGCACUACGGGAGACUGGAAUUCCUGGUGUAGCGGUGAAAUGCGCAUAUAUCAGGAGGAACACCGAUGGCGAAGGCAGGUCUCUGGGCUGUUACUGACGCURAGGAGCGAAAGCAUGSGGAGCGAACAGGAUUAGAUACCCUGGUAGUCCAUGCCGUAUACGUUGGGCACUAGGUGUGGGGGACAUUCCACGUUUUCCGCGCCGUAGCUAACGCAUUAAKUGCCCCGCCUGGGGAGUACGGCCGCAAGGCUA